GUUACACGAAAUAGAAUUCUAAAUUCGGCUACUACCAUUUAAAGAGUUGAUCACGAUAUCUUUAUUCAAAAAGGGACACUGCAAACAGAAUCUACAGGCCAGAUGACUUAACAACUGUCACUGUGGAAAUAUUAGAAGCUAUUAUUAAAGAUAAUGGAGCAGGAUACUUACUAAACUUCAAGGACUUGUGAUGAUAGUAGCCCCAUGACAGUAUUUAUAGGCUGAUGUGAAAGAGAUCUGACGAAACAACUAAAAUUUGAAUUCAAGGUUCCUGCGCACAGGGUCUGGUUCACAACCCAUCUGAAGGGCCAUGAAGCUCAAGUCACAGAGAUGCCGGUUUGACCAUAACAAUUGCAGGAGCCAGGAGAUGUGCAAGACCCUGUGAUGGGACCACACAGUUCAGGAA